UGACCCAGGAAAGAUCCAGCAGGAAUCUGCUGUGUUGGGAGUCAUGGUCUAAAGCUGUCUGGAUAUAUUUUGAUCUGAGCUCUCAGGUACUUCUCUAAACCAAAAUAUUCAACAUGUUUGAGGCUUUUAAAAAGCCUAAAAUCUUCUCAGGUCCUUACAACAGAGAAGAGAUUACAAGCAGAAAUCUCCAGAUAAAUCUGAGAUGGAUUUUGCUGCAGUGGCUCUUUCAUAAUCUGUGACUGAAGUCUGCUGACUGACACCAAGAAUGCAAAUACACUGUGGAAGGGGUCUCUAUUUUUUCUUAAGCUGUCUAAAUCAAUUAGGUGUUUGAGGCGUGGCAGUGUAUUUCCUAGGAACUUCAUUUCUUGCUAUUACCCUCCAGACAAAAGUAACCAAUCCCUUUGGAGUUUGCAAAGGAAGACGCAUCCCACAGAGUUAGUGCUGUGUGCACUACAUGUAGAAAGAUAUGUUUAACAGAAGAUGAGAAAUUAUGGAUCAAAUAAUGAUGUGGAAACCACUCUCACAAAUAAUGAAGAUCAUCCUGGAUGCACUCCAAAUAUCAUUACUACUGUUUAAUUUCAACUCCAGUCCUGCAUCUGCUUAAGAUAGUGUCAAAGAUAAUAAUCUUACCAGACAGAUACAAAAUACAAAACUGAAAUUACAUUGCUCAAUUAUUUUGUUUACUAGUGGUGUUAAACUACUGUUUUGUCUGAAUCGUGCAGGAGAGCUAUGAUUUUUACCUUUAAACUCCUCUGAAAAUACAGCAGUUUAGCAUCAAUACCUAUUUCUUUCCAGAUUACGUUAUAUGAAUGAGUUUGAUAGGAGUCACCAUGGUGAGGAAAGGAUAAUGGAAUUUCAGGCUCUUUGGUGUUGUUGUAUAUACCAACAGUUCUUUCUGUGUGGAUUUAUUGUGGCAAUGAAGAGUGGGAAACUGCUAAUUUAUAUCAUACCAGUAAAGUGCAUAAGUAUUGUGUUCCUUGAAGUAUGAAUGUUUGCAGAUGUCUGUAAAACCUUCACAUGGGAUUGACAUGUCCGAGAUAAUGCAUAUUAAGGAAUUAGUCUACCUUUGGAAUUGGGUGAUGUAAAAUAUGCAUUAUCAUGAAGUGCCACAUUGCUUUACCUUUAUUGCCUUACUCCUCCGGUAGUCCUGUUGGUGUAGGGCCAGCAGGGUCUGCUCCUGCAUGAGGGAGGAGGCAGCAGUGUUGUGCCUGUGAUUAUUUGCUGCAUGUUGCUGUGCCAGGCAGGAUGUGACCUGGCCCAUCUCCCAGCUGUAGCACAACAUAUUGGCAUGUCAUGGGCUGUGCAGUUCGCUCUGUGCGGUUUGACUGUCGCUGCAAUGUUUGAAAUUGCGUGAAUGUAUGGCCUCGGUGGUUCAGAAAAACAGAAAAGGAAGCAAAUCCACAAGUCAUAUAACUUGAAAGGCUGCUUGACAUAUGCGCUAAGAUUUUAUCAUUUGCAGUAUGGAUAUCUUGAAAUUACCUUCUUAGCAUCAUUUAUUGACAGAGUUGCUGAUAUCAUUUGCUUGAUAAUUUUUUUUAAUAAUUUGGAUGUGGAGGGUUCAAGGACCUCUGUAUUUGAGAAAAAUGUUGCUAGAAGUGAAAAAGCUGCUGAGUGAAUGAUCUAAAAGCAGCAAGGAUUUCUAUCACUUUUCAGGACCAAGACGUUCAGCUCUUAGGGACCUUUUCCCUCUCUCCCUUUUUUCCCAGUCACAUCCUUUCAUGGAAGGGCUCCUGUACAUUGCUGCAUCAGAGGUCCAGGUGUGGGUACAAAUGUAGAGGGCUCUAAAUGCAUGCAGUUUGAAGGGUAUUUAUGUUACAAGUGUGGUAUAUAGAAACCCAGAUCUACAUGAUGUUCAGAUCUUUUUGAUGAUAAUAUAUCACUGUGCUUCAUACUGGUAUUCUCUAUGAAAGCGAUAAAAACAUCAAAUGUUGGGAUUUAAUUUAGAAAUAAAUACAAUAUUAGAAAGUAAAAAUGAUAACGAUACAUUAAAUAUUUCAUCCUCUACAGAAAUAAACCAGCUACAGUUCAGGGAGCUUCACUAAACACAUUAAGUCUAAUAAAAUCACCUACACGUACUCCUGACACUAGUAGUAAUUAAAAUAACUUGUUUCAAAAAACUGGUCCUAUACAUGAAUACUUAUUGGCAAUUAUUUCUAAGUUCUUCAAACCAAAGAUAACGUAAUUUGAUUCACACACAAUGUUCUUGUAAACGUGGUUCAUACUGGGUUUUAUAUGCAGCUUAGGACUGUUAAUUGCCAUUUUGAGCCUCACAGUAAAAUAGAGUUCAAUAUGUCGCUUUUUCUGAAGUAUUGAGAAAUAUUUGAGAAACGCUUGUCUUUCUUAGUCUAAUCAACUGUGAAUAAUUUAUUUCUGAGCCCUACUUUUCAGUAUAAGUGGAUCUGACUUUUCUCAGAGCUUCUGAAGUCUAAUCAACUUGUUACAUUCAUUUAAUUAAGGAAAUCUGUAAUGAACUGUGAAGUGUAUGUACCAACAGGCUUUUUUUGUUGUGUAAAAUUGGUGUAUUUUCAUUGUGAGUGUAAUUGUGUUUGUUUAUACUGACAGGUAGUCUCUACCAAACAAAUAAAUUUUUUUCCUACAUGUAUAGGUCAAUAUGAAUAGCGUACAAACUGUUUUCUGAACUGCCUCUCUCCUGGUGGACACACCACCCAGGUUCCCAAGUUCACGCAGCUGUAGCUUUCAGGCAAUUCUCAUUUUUGGAAGGGUUACAUGUACCUAAGUGUUCUUCCGUGCUUCAGAGAGAAGGAAGAUGUAAUAGAGGUGUGACAUAGAAGAGUGUGGAUAAGAGACUGACUAUUUUAGUCACAGUUAACCUGAAAAAGGUCAUCAGAGUAGAAGAUUAAAACACUGACACAAGCUUGCGGUCAGGAUCUUGCACACCACAGAGUUGCCAAGAGGAGCGCAAAAGGGUGAGCUAAGGGUGCUGAGUGAAAGUCCAGUCUGUGUUUCGCAGCCCAAAGUAAUUUGUUCUCAUUUUUCUGAGAAAUCAGCAUCAUUGGAAGGAGGUAGCUGGUAAAAUAAAGGGCUCCUACAUCAUAUAUGCAUUUUUUAAAAAAUGACCCCAUAUCUAUUUGUUAAUGAAUGUUUAGAAGUCCAGUGUUCCUCCCAUCAUUAUGUGACAUGAGGAACAUUUUUUAUUAAAAAUAAAGAGAGGUGCUGUGGGGAUUGACACAUUAUUUUCUCCUUAUGCUCAGACAAACUCUUCAGCCUCAGAGAAAAGGUCCUUGACCCUGGUCUAAAACACUGUCCAGUGCUUAUGGGAUGUAAUACGAAAAUCAUCAAAACUGUCCUUGGCAGGAUGUUUCUCUCCAUUAGUUGAUUAAAAUGGUUUAUUGUUGCCUAUA